UACGGAGGGGGCUAGCGUUGUUCGGAAUUACUGGGCGUAAAGCGCACGUAGGCGGCUUUGUAAGUUAGAGGUGAAAGCCCAGGGCUUAACCCUGGAAUUGCCUUUAAGACUGCAUCGCUAGAAUCGUGGAGAGGUGAGUAGGAAUUCCGAGUGUAGAGGUGAAAUUCGUAGAUAUUCGGAAGGAAACACCAGUGGCGAAGGCGACUCACUGGACACGUAUUGACGCUG
rnacentral:rRNA from 1 species